rnacentral:rRNA from 1 species
GUCAAUUGUUAUUAUUCAUAUUAAUUUUUUUAACAGUUUUAAUUUUUUAUUUUAGUUGAUUUUUAAAUUAUUAUUAAGUCAAAUUUUAGGAGUAGUUAAUAUUAAUUUAUAACUCUGAUUAGAUUGUUUUGUUAAUGCUAUAAUAUAGGUGUGGAAAAAGUGUAAAAUAUAGUAAAUAAAAAAUAAUAAAUAAAAUUAAAUUAUAUGUCAGAAAUGGAUGCCAGCCGUUGCGGUAAUAUCUAUGCUUUUAAAUAUUAUACAGUCAUUUUAUUAAUUUGUUACUCACUAUUUUAGUCAAAAAAAGAAAAAUAUAGUUAUUUGUUUUUAAACACCGUUAUGGUACAUGCAAAUACAAAGUUACAGUAAUUAUUAAUUCUAUUAAUUUAUAUUUAUUCAAAUAGAAUCAAGAACAAAAUUGCAUUUUUUUGACACCAUGAUAAGGCUAAAGAAUGAAAUUGUAAAUUUUAUAUUCAAAAUUAAUUAAUUAUAUUAAGCAUGCAAACCUAGAUAAAACAAAAAAUCUACAAGGUAUUGUUGCCCACCAAUUUUUAUAAUAAAGAUAACGUGCAGUAAUUAAUAUAUUUAUAAAAAUAUAUU